GACGAACGCUGGCGGCGUGCUUAACACAUGCAAGUCGAACGGAAAGGCCCUGCUUUUGUGGGGUGCUCGAGUGGCGAACGGGUGAGUAACACGUGAGUAACCUGCCCUUGACUUUGGGAUAACUUCAGGAAACUGGGGCUAAUACCGGAUAGGAGCUCCUGCUGCAUGGUGGGGGUUGGAAAGUUUCGGCGGUUGGGGAUGGACUCGCGGCUUAUCAGCUUGUUGGUGGGGUAGUGGCUUACCAAGGCUUUGACGGGUAGCCGGCCUGAGAGGGUGACCGGCCCCAUUGGGCCUGAGAAAAGGGCCCGACCCCCACCGGGGGGCAGCGGGGGGAAAUUUUCCCAAAGGGGGGGAGGCCGGAUGCAGCACCCCCGGUGGGGGAAGGACGGCUUUGGGGUUGAAACCCCCUUUCCCCGUGGCCGAGGGGGGGGGACGGGAAUGGGGAAAAAAGACACCGCCAACCUCCUU
rnacentral:rRNA from 1 species